GGAUGUGAGUGUGAUUAAGCUGUGAUAUGAUUAGAUGACCAAGGAUUGAUUCAGUUUACUUAGCUGGCUAGGCAAGAGUACCUCCUCCAUCACCACUCUGUGUGUCCCACCUGAAGAUACACACUCAGUAUUACUUUCUAUGAUAGAAGACUGUCCUUUUGUCAAAUGUAUACAAGUAGCUUCACUCUUCAGCUAGAAUCUCUUAACAAACUCAAAGGAGUUAAAUUGCAGGGGAAAGUUUUAAAAAGUCUUUGCUGAGGUUUUGCCUUUAAAA
rnacentral:snRNA from 1 species